AUUUUUCAGAAAAUAAUACUGAACAUAUGCUUCAAGGAUGUCUCUCUCUCUCAUAAUAAAAUGGGGUGGACAGGAGUAUACGAUAACCUCUCUCUCAGAAGAAGACACAGUGUUGGAUCUGAAGCAAUCUCUUAAAGGCCUUACUGGAGUGUUACCAGAGCGUCAAAAACUACUUGGACUUAAAAUGAAGGGCAAACCUGCAGAUGAUGAUGUUAAGCUUGGAGCUCUCAAGUUGAAACCAAAUACUAAAAUAAUGAUGAUGGGCACUCGUGAAGAGAGUUUGGAAGAUGUCCUUGGGCCACCUCCUGAUAAUGAUGAUGUUGUCAAUGACUUUGAUAUUGAAGAGGAAGUUGUGGAAGUAGAAAACAGGGAAGAAAAUCUACUAAAAAUUUCCCGCAGAGUUAAAGAAUACAAAGUGGAAAUUCUGAAUCCUCCUAGAGAAGGAAAAAAGCUGCUGGUGCUAGAUGUUGAUUAUACACUAUUUGACCACAGAUCAUGUGCUGAAACUGGGGUAGAACUGAUGAGGCCAUACCUUCAUGAAUUCCUGACAUCUGCAUAUGAGGAUUAUGACAUUGUAAUUUGGUCUGCUACUAAUAUGAAGUGGAUUGAAGCUAAAAUGAAAGAGCUUGGCGUGAGUACCAAUGCAAACUACAAGAUAACUUUCAUGUUGGACAGUGCUGCCAUGAUAACAGUGCACACUCCUAGGAGAGGACUAAUAGAUGUGAAGCCGCUUGGUGUUAUCUGGGGAAAAUUUUCGGAAUAUUACAGCAAAAAAAAUACUAUUAUGUUUGAUGAUAUCGGCCGAAACUUCCUAAUGAAUCCACAAAAUGGACUCAAGGGUAUCUGCAUAAAGACCAGAAACAACUGAGCUGAUGAACUUUGAUGUCACUUACAGUAUUCAGGACCGUCGGUUGUUUUCAAUGAAGCAAUUAUGCUUCCUAAAGGGAAAAGAAUUUUUGAAGGAACCUGAUCCCUGGAAAUCUCUCUUUCCACCCCUACAAAGUUAGGCUGUCAGUUCAGAUCUAAGGUCCUUCGUUACGAGGCAACUUUUCUGGUGGUUACUUCAGAGGUUUGGGGUGUUACCGUGUGGUUCUUGGGCACUAUCCAAGUUGUGUGGUAUUACGGUAUUCAUCGGCUCUGAAAUGUAUCUUUCAAAGAAGCAAGGACAAUAACACUAAUAAAAUUGUGUGGCACUGAAUUGAAGGGAACGUAACUAAGAUCAUUGGACUUUUCCUUGCUUUUACGCUAGAGUAUAAUAGUGCUGGACACUGGAUCCAAUGCCAGAAUGACUGCUAUACUUGGUCUUCCAGGUGGUUGGUUGUGGGUUUUUUUUAAAAGAUCACAGCAAUAAGCUCAAAGUGGGAGAAACAAGUCAGUUACUUUUUCUUGCAUUCAGUUCUGGUGUUACUACUUAAAAUACUUUCCUCUCCUUUGCUGCCGAAGUACAACCAUAACCAUUAAAGACCAAAACCAUUCUGAAAUUAGAAAAAAAAAUAUUUAGACCAAAAAAGUUGAGUAAGGAGCCAACCUUGGCAGUGUAUGAAUUGUAUAAGCCCUCUAUUCCCUCCAUCUUUAGAAACAGUCUCCCUCUCCUGUUCCAGUAUUUAAGUCUAUAAAUUACAAGUUGUCUAAGUUUGGUAUGUAUUAGUAUGUCAGUGUUUCUCUGUGCAAGACAGUAAGAUGGGAAAGUACCACCUCUGUGGCCAAUUUACCCCAGUGUGUGAACUUGUACUAUAAAGCAGUGUUUACUGGAAAACAAAAGAUUGAAGUUUGAGGGAGAGAAACCCACUCUUAUUUGAUAAGUGAAAAGCAGUCUGCCUGAAAAAUUCUCAUGUGUCAGAUAAAGGGUUUAAUCCUCAGAUGGGAAAGUCACAUUCCUAACAAAGCAUGAACAAAACCCUUGUUCUCUUCUAGCUAAAUCUCAUCAAAGUGCAAACACUGUGUUUAAAUACAAUAUUCAGCCAUACUGUUCUUAAAAUAUCAUUUACUUGCGCUGCUUAUGCCUGCACUAUAGAAGUGUGAUGUGACUGCUGUUUGGCAUUACCAACACUUGUGCAUUAUGCAGUUCAUGUAUUUGAAAGAAGACUGACCCUUUCAAAUAAAAAUGGUAUAUAUUGUUCUUAAGGAACUAUAGCAGUUGUGUAAAUAAUAAAUACCUUUUUCAUAA